UACGGAGGGUGCAAGCGUUAUCCGGAUUUACUGGGUUUAAAGGGUGUGUAGGCGGGCUAUUAAGUCAGUGGUGAAAUCUCCGAGCUUAACUUGGAAACUGCCAAUGAUACUAUUAGUCUUGAAUUUUGUUGAGGUAGGCGGAAUAAGUCAUGUAGCGGUGAAAUGCUUAGAUAUGACUUAGAACACCAAUUGCGAAGGCAGCUUGCUAAACAAAUAUUGACGCUGAGGCACGAAAGCGUGGGGAUCAAACAGGAUUAGAUACCCCGGUAGUCC
rnacentral:rRNA from 1 species